rnacentral:rRNA from 1 species
GCAUGGCUGGCGUGAGUGUGAGGUAGGCGGAAUGCGUUGUGUAGCGGUGAAAUGCAUAGAUAUGACGCAGAACUCCGAUUGCGAAGGCAGCUUACCAACACUUUACGGACGCUGAGGCACGAAAGCGUGGGUAUCGAACAGGAUUAGAUACCCUGGUAGUCCACGCAGUAAACGAUGAAUACUAAUUGUUCGGGGGUCAACCCCUGAGUGAUACAGCGAAAGCGUUAAGUAUUCCACCUGGGGAGUACGCCGGCAACGGUGAAACUCAAAGGAAUUGACGGGGGCCCGCACAAGCGGAGGAACAUGUGGUUUAAUUCGAUGAUACGCGAGGAACCUUACCCGGGCUCAAACGUUGGGGGAAUGCUCCUGAAAGGGAGCAGCCAGCAAUGGUCGCCAACGAGGUGCUGCAUGGUUGUCGUCAGCUCGUGCCGUGAGGUGUCGGCUUAAGUGCCAUAACGAGCGCAACCCCUGCGUCCAGUUACCAUCAAGUCAUGUUGGGGACUCUGGACGGACUGCCGGCGCAAGCCGUGAGGAAGGCGGGGAUGACGUCAAAUCAGCACGGCCCUUACGUCCGGGGCGACACACGUGUUACAAUGGCGUGGAACAGCGGGAAGCCACCUGGCGACAGGGAGCGGACCCCUAAAACACGUCUCAGUUCGGAUUGGAGUCUGCAACUCGACUCCAUGAAGCUGGAUUCGCUAGUAAUCGCGCAUCAACCAUGGCGCGGUGAAUACGUUCCCGGGCCUUGUACACACCGCCCGUCAAGCCAUGGGAGCCGGGAGUGCCUGAAGUACGUAACCGGAAGGAGCGUCCAAGGGUAACACUGGUGACUGGGGCUAAGUCGUAACAAGGUAACC